rfam:Asian citrus Psyllid, Diaphorina citri - Florida Strain, whole genome shotgun sequence.
ACCUCGGUGGUGUAGUGGUCAAGACGCUCGCUUGUUAAACAGGAGGGCGUGGGUUCAAUCCCAGCCGAGGUA